rnacentral:rRNA from 1 species
UACGUAGGGGGCAAGCGUUGUCCGGAUUUAUUGGGCGUAAAGAGCGUGUAGGCGGUUUGGUAGGUCCGCUGUGAAAACUCGGAGGCUCAACCUCGAGACGCCGGUGGAAACCAUCAGGCUAGAGUCCGGAAGAGGAGAGUGGAAUUCCUGGUGUAGCGGUGAAAUGCGCAGAUAUCAGGAAGAACACCCGUGGCUAAGGCGGCUCUCUAGUACGGUACUGACGCUGAGACGCGAAAGCGUGGGGAGCGAACAGG